rnacentral:rRNA from 1 species
AGAGUUUGAUCCUGGCUCAGAAGGAACGCUGGCAGCGUGCAUAACACAUGCAAGUCGAACGCGAAAGGAUCCUUCGGGAUUUGGACGAGUGGCGAACGGGUGAGGAACACGUAAGAAUCUACCUUUCGGUUGGGGAUAACUUCUGGAAACGGGAGCUAAUACCCAAUAUGCUGUGGAGUGAAAGAAUUUCGCCGAGAGACGAUCUUGCGUCUGAUUAGCUUGUUGGGGUGGUAAUGGCACACCAAGGCGACGAUCAGUAGCUGGUCUGAGAGGAUGGACAGCCACAUUGGGACUGAGACACGGCCCAGACUCCUACGGGAGGCAGCAGUGGGGAAUUUUCCGCAAUGGACGAAAGUCUGACGGAGCGACGCUGCGUGAAGGAUGAAGGCCCGUGGGUUGUAAACUUCUUUUCUCGAAGAAGAAAAAAAUGACGGUAUUCGAGGAAUAAGCAUCGGCUAACUCUGUGCCAGCAGCCGCGGUAAGACAGAGGAUGCAAGUGUUAUUCGGAAUGAUUGGGCGUAAAGAGUCUGUAGGCGGUUUAGAAAGUCUUUUGUGAAAUACUUCAGCUCAACUGAGGCUCCGCAAAAGAAACUUCUAGACUUGAGGAAAGUAGAGGUACAGGGAAUUUCCGGUGGAGCGGUGAAAUGCGUAGAUAUCGGAAGGAACACCAAUAUGGCGAAGGCACUGUACUGGGCUUUUCCUGACGCUCAGAGACGAAAGCUGAAGGAGUGAUUAGGAUUAGAUACCCUAGUAAUUUCAGCCGUAAACGAUGAAAACUCACUGUCGAGCCAAUAUAUGGAGCGGUGGUCAAGCUAACGCGUGAAGUUUUCCGCCUGGGGAUUAC